rnacentral:tRNA from 1 species
CCUUGGGUAGUUUAACGAAAACGUAGUGUUGAAGCCGCUAAGUUGGCUUAACAGCCUCCGGGGG